rnacentral:rRNA from 1 species
GACGAACGCUGGCGGCGUGCUUAACACAUGCAAGUCGAACGGAAAGGCCCUGCUUUUGUGGGGUGCUCGAGUGGCGAACGGGUGAGUAACACGUGAGUAACCUGCCCUUGACUUUGGGAUAACUUCAUGAAACUUGGGCUCAUACCGGAUAGGAGCUCCUGCUUCAUGGUGGGGGUUGGAUAGUUUCGGCGGUUGGGGAUGGACUCGCGGCUUAUCAGCUUGUUGGUGGGGUAGUGGCUUACCAAGGCGUUGACGGGUAGCCGGCCUGAGAGGGUGACCGGCAACAGUGGGACUGAGAUACGGCCCAGACUCCUACGGGAGGCAGAAGUGGGGAAUAUUGAAAAAUGGGCGGAAGCCUGAUGCAGCAACGCCGAGUGCGGGAUGACGGCCUUCGGGUUGUAAACCGAUUUCGCCUGUGACGAAGCGUGAGUGACGGUAAUGGGUAAAGAAGCACCGGCUAAAUACGUG